rnacentral:lncRNA from 1 species
GCUCUUGGAAUUCUCCCUCUCAGGAAACUAACAGCCUGCUAUGAAGCCCAAGCCACAAAGAGAGGCCAAGGGGAAAUAAACAGAGUGUGAUUAUAUGCAAAACCUACAAGAAUGAGGACCUCCAAACUCAGUGUACAGAGUGAUUUUCUGCUGAAACAAUUGGUUGGUGUAAGAAUAUUGGAAGCCUGAACCUAGCACUGUCUGCUACUGGCCUGACGUCUUUUCCACAACAUGGGAAGAGAUUGCCUGGGAAGGAAGCCAACUCUGUGGAAAGCAUAAGAAAUAACCAAAGAAAGAUGGCACAUCUUAUCUGGACAGUGUUGAAGUGAACUUUUAAAAUGAAGUAAAUUUUGUUGAAUCGUAGCCUGAGACAAUGAAGGGGUAAUUUAGGGGAAGAACCCCUACCUCUAAGUUGCCUUUUUUGACCACAUGCUGGAAGCUGGGUGUCGGUUACAAGCUGACUGUAAAAAACGGCAGGAAGGAGAGGGGCUUCUUCUCAGCCUUACCUUUAGGAAAUCAAAAAAAAACCAAAACUGAAUCCUCACUUAGCGGAGGGGAACAAAGAACUCAGAUUCUAAGGACAAGGCAGAAUCCAUUAGGUAUAGGGCAGAAGCUAAAAAAAAGGAGAGGACUCUGAUUAAAACAUAAAACCC